GAAAAUCCAAUUCUCUUGCACGGCAGAGCGGCUGGUGACACAGGUCCAGAUGCUGGGAUGCUGAUGGGGGGUCCUGGAGUGGGAGGUGUCAGGAGACUUUCCGGACCCACAGCAGCCCUGGGCUCUUGUCCGGCCUUCUUGCCCGAGGCAUGACCCCUGGAGGGAAAGCAGCUUCGGGGGCCCGAGGGCCAGAAGGCAGAGUCCUGGUGUGUGGGGCAGGCCUGGGCCAGGCUCCUCGGAGGAUGUCACAGAGCUGCUGCCCAUGAGGGGACCACCCACCUCUGAGCCCCAUGCAGAUUUUCCUCUGUAGCCGAGCGAAAUCCUGGUACGGUGAGUGAGGCAGUCAGAGGCACCUUUUGUGGAAGGAGGACAAAGCUGGAGAGAAAGAGGUUUUCCUAAAGGCACAAGGCGCUGAUACUGCAUUAGGGAUAAUUCCUAGAAGUGUGGUUGCUGGUGGGUGGAAAACUGUAGCCAGAGAAUAAGUGGGAAUGGCCCUUGCUGGUAUUUAACUGAUUCGUUCACGGAUGGUCUGAACAGUUCUAGUGAAAAUAAUAUUUUGGACACAGAUGUUUUCAUCCUGCCUCACAAGCAGCAUGACCGUGGGCUCUUCCAUCCUUCCUGGGUGACAGUGAGGGUCUCAGGCCCUUCCGACCCUGUGUUAGCAUUUCCCCAGGGUGUGUGUCCUGUCCUGAAUAGGCUGGAAUGCCUCUGGGUAUAGCUGAGCCUCUUGAAAAGGGAAGAGUCAUGUGACGUGCUCUGGGUGAACAGGAAAAUGAGGGAGGACAGGGAGAGGGGCCUGGAGGUGAGGAGGAUGGUGAGCAACACUGGGGACAGAGGACGUAGGGUAACACCAGGGACAGGGGGAUGGAGGGUAACGCCGGGGACAGGGGCAUGGAGGGUAACGCCGGAGACAGGGGAUGGAGGGUAACACCACUUCUCCAGGUGCCUUUGGGGGAUGCUGCCGCCUCUCGCACCCCAGAGUGAAGUCAACAGGAUUCUGUCCCGAGGAGCCCCAGAGCCUGGCAGCUGGGAUUGUCGCAGUAUGAACCACUGUUCACUAGCUCUGCACCCUGGGACAGGCUCCCUGGUGUUUCCACCCUGGUUUCCCAUCUGGACAGUGGGACCCUGAGUGUCCCCGUCCCAGCUGCGCCCAGAGCCCUGGACUCCAGCGUGUCGUCGGCACUCAUUAGCGUUUCUCUUGUUGUGGUCCGUGGAUGAAGUGGCUCUCUCUUUGUGUGUUCACAGCCCUCCUGCUCACUUUACCUUCUGGGAACACUUUUUACAUAGCUUCGUAUGUGGGGAGGACUCGAGUGAUUAAUCGAAUGUUUCAUCAGGUGCAGUUCUUCUGUUUCCCAGUUUUGACACAACAUUUGGUGAAAUUUCCAGGGACUCCUGUGGUCAGCCUCGCGGUUUCACUCUGUCACUUUCUAAUGCAGUAUUCUUUGGGAGUCUUUUCAAUUAAGCGCCAUCAUUUAAAAAUAAGUUUUAUAAUAUGCAGUUUCAGGUUAAUUAUUUACCUUUGGGUCUCAGGCAGUAGCUACCUACCUGUGAGUAGUCACAAAGUUUCACGCAGUUUUCUCUAGGCGUCCCUGGCUCGUAGCUCAGCAGGUCCCUUCAGAUGAGUCAGCCAGCUGUGUACCUGCAUGUUCAGGAUACUUGUCAGGGGCCUUCCUCAGAGCAAGACCGACGCUUACCUCAUCCUUGGGACUUUGGAGCCCACCCUGGAGAGACUCCAGCCACGUCCUAAGGGGCCGUCCGGGUCCCACAGGCUGGUGGGAGUGACUUCUGAGACACUCCAGACCACACUUUGUGUUCCUACACCCCACAAAGCCACUUAAAGUGCCGUGUUCUGGUGCUGUGUGCCUCACCAGUGUGCCACACAAGCCUGCACCGGGAUCUGAGCGGGCGCUGCCUUCCUCAGGCUAUGCUUAAGUUUUGGGGCAACUGGAGCACUCGUGGCUGUGAUUCUUGCCACUGUCUGGGCUUCCCUAGAGGGUCUCACCCGCAGCCUGAGGACCACAUCGGCAGCCACCGAGGAGCCGCCAGCGCCACAGCAUUUCGGUGUCAUCCCCUUCCGUGCACGCGUCCUCAUGAAAACCAAGUGCGGCUGGAGGGAGAUGCCUGCGCCCACUCCCGUGACCUUCCCGGCCAGCCUGGCUGCAGCGGCCUCUCGGCAGGCAUCUUUCUGGUGCUGCCUCCGUGCCCCUCCCAUCACCUGACGCUCGUGUUCCUGAAUCUUCACGCAUGUGCUCUGUGCAGCCACCUCACAGGCUCCCUGGGAACGGAGACAGUGUCUCACGCUGGUCAGAAUGCUCUUCUCUGUCCACUGAAUAGUCCAACACAGAAUCAUUCCUCUGUGAUUAUUUAUGCUUUGUUAUGUAGAACUGGAAUUUAAAAAAAGUGAAUUUAGACAUUACAGCCAUCAGGUUGAAGUUUAGUAAUUGCAUUAGGGAAUUAAAUGGAAGCAUUUGAGCUUCUCGAGUUCUAAUUCCACAUCUUCGUAUCCCCAUCACCCCAUACCCAGUGUCUAACAGAGCUCUUGGUCUAGGAGUUUCUUGAUAAAUGCUUAUUGAAUUGAACUGGACUGAGCUUAACAUUCCCACCCAGAGUUAGAAGCCAGUCCCUGAACAAAUUGCAUUUAGAAUAUGAGUUUGACGUUACUGUGGUAAGGGGUAUCCUACACGUCAUAAUUCCUAGUCAAUAUCGGGUAUUUAGUCAAAUAGACUCAAGUAUAGAGAAGCAUAGGCCUAUCUGGCAAAAGGGCAAGGCACGGUGCUUUAGGUCCAGGUCCCCAAUAUCAACUAUGAAAAUAAAACGUCAACUCCAAUGACAGCCCUGUCCUCAGCUGGUCACUGUUUACACUAACAAUUAUAAACAGCUUGAACUUGCUGUCCUGAGAGGCAACACACCCUCCAUUCUCUCUGCAGUGUAGCUGCCUUGGUGGAGGGAACAUGCCGCUCCUCCUUCCCUCUCCCUAUCCCUCCCUCCCCCCUCCUCUCUCCCUCCCUCUCCCCUCCUCUCUCCCUCCUUCCCCCCUCCUUCUUCCUAUCUUCUCUCACCUUUCUCUCCCCACCUUCUCUCCUGGACAAGGAGCAGAAGAGAGGAGACCUCCGGAAUCUUCUGCUUCAUCCAAGCAGCUUGAGGGCAGCAUCAACAGCUGCAAUUUGGCUGCCGCAGCAGGUGCCUCAGGGCAGCCUUUCUAAUGGGAAUCCUGGAAUCAUGUCUUUCCUUAAUGUGUCCUAAAGGCUGGAGGACAUGAAGUGAAACAAUGCUCCAUGCUCAGUCCUGUGAUUUUGUGUAAUUAUUGGACUUACUUUGAAAUUAAACUAAAUGAUACCCAAGGUAGAGCAUGAAAAAAAA